rnacentral:rRNA from 1 species
ACCUAUCAAUUCAAGAGGACCAAAAAAAAUAACAUACGCAACACGUUACAAUACUACACAGUAAACACUACAGCCAUUAAUAUUAUAAGCCACACACAUAUAUAACCUACAAUAUUAAAAGAUUGCCAAACCUAAUAAACAAAUCAAGCUUAACGUAUAAAAUCGUAAAAUGUGCAAAAACACCAUACAGCGCUAACUAUAACAAGUACAAACAAAAAAUGUGCCAGCAGUUGCGGUAAAACAUUUUGUACUAAUUUUCCAGACAAAAGUUAAUAAUAAAAGUAAUUUUAAAAUACAGAAAAUAGAGAUAAAGAAAAAUAAGUAAAAUACCAAGAAAAAGAAAAACUGCCGUUAAAAAUUUUCUAGACUUAAAAAUAAACAAUAACAUCAAAGUAUAAACAACAAAAAGGAUUAGAUACCCUUGUAGCUUACACCCCAACCCUCAAACCAGAAAAGUAUAAUCGCAAGAUCCAAAAUUAACGAACUUGAGAGAGAACAAAAAAUUCAGAGGAGUGUGUGUUUUAAUUCGAAAUUACACGAAAACCUUACCUAAACAAUCAACAAGUAGCACAUCGCCGUAUUUAAUUUUUCUCAUAAAAAUAAAAACCUACUACUAAUUAAGACAAAUACCGGCCACCACACUCUUUAUGUAAAGGGCCAACAAGCACUACAAACUAUUACAAAACCCAAACCAAUAACAGUUCCAUGCCACAUGAAAAAGAAAAGGAGAAUCUGACAGUAAUUCCUUCAAUAAAAAUAGAAUGAACUUACCACAACUGCUACAUACCGCCCGUCAAUUCUUUAUACAACAUAAAAAAAACCUGCACCAAGCAACAAAAGUAUAAACAAUAACCUGACCAUACACCAAUAUCAAGUAUUUUCAGUAAAAAUAAGAAUAAGUCGUAACAAGGUAGCUAUACCUG